UACGUAGGGCGCAAGCGUUAUCCGGAAUUAUUGGGCGUAAAGAGCUCGUAGGCGGUUUGUCGCGUCUGCCGUGAAAAGUCCGGGGGCUCAACUCCGGAUCUGCGGUGGGUACGGGGCAGACUAGAGUGAUGUAGGGGAGACUGGAAUUCCUGGUGUAGCGGUGAAAUUCGUAGAUAUCAAGCAGAACACCUGCGGCGAAGGCGGCCUUCUGGACGAUGACUGACGCUGAGACGCGAAAGCGUGGGGAGCGAACAGG
rnacentral:rRNA from 1 species